rnacentral:lncRNA from 1 species
CCAGACCCUAUCAAGCUUGCUCCAUCUGGAUCAUUACAGUCAUGCCUGUGCACCAAACAAGUGUUCAGUGGAAAUCACACGUAUGAGAAGGUCCUCUGCUAUAAAAGGUUCAUCAGUACCACCAUAACAGCAGGGAAAACAGAUGCCUGUGCAACCAGGAGAAGUCAAUGACCCUCCUGCUAAGGAGAGUAGCAGCCAACUGGCAGUCUCAUCAAGCCCAUCGCAGUUCCUUCUAAAAUUACAUAACCUGGGAAUACACGUACCACAGCAGUCAGUGCUGUGAACAGUGCUCCUCUUUCACCCUAAAGCUUGUGUUCUGUGAAGUAACAGAGAUCUUCAUAUACACACUUACAAAGAAAUAUUUAAUUUCAAGAAUAAAGUAGGUGAGACAGCAGGAGCUGUAUCUACUGACAAAGAGAAGCAGAGGUAAAUGCUCAAAGAGAUUUGUCUAGAAGAUGAAUCAUAGAGCAUGGAUUGGAAAGAGGAGCAGCAGCAGAAAUAUUCAGUACUCGGAAAAUAUCUAGAGGUGACAUUAGAAAUAAU